CAAGGUCCAGUUGAAGAAGAUUGGCUUUCCUGGCCAAUAGACCUCAAUCAUGGCCAAACCGCUCAAAGCAUGUUGCACAAGUGCCAAGGGGUUUCACAGGAUGGACACUAUCAGAGAAGGAAGCAGAAAAGUCUUGCUGAAAUUAUGGAAGGGCACCUUGAUGCUGAGGCUGAGAAUAGGGAUGAUGUUUUGGCUGAAGAAGGAACAAAGGCAAGAAAAGCAGCGUCUUCAGCCAAGGGAAAGAAGAGGAAAUUAAUGGGAGAAGACAUGAAUGCUGAGGGUAAAAAUGGGAUAAUGGAUGAGACUAAAGUAGCAAGCUUGGACAAAGCUGCAUCUUCAUCUGGAAGGAAGAAGAAGAAGAAAGUAAGUGAUGAAACUGAUGUUGAUGGAAAAAAUGAGAUGGAAGAUGUGNNNGAAAACUUGGGAAAACCUUCAUCUAUAGGAAAGAAGAGGAAAGGCAAUGGUGAGGCUGAUGUUAGUAGCAGCGGCAGCAGUGAUUUGUUUUCCAAACCAAGGACAAGGACAGAGAAGUUUGCUGAAUCUCUUGUAGCAGCAAACAACAAAGUCAGUAGUGUUGAAGUUGAUGGUAGCCGGGUGAAGAAGGAAAAUAUGAAGAGCCCUUUGUCAAGAGGAGGGAAGAAAAAGGGAAGUUCCAAUAUUGAAGAUGCUGAUGGUUGGGGCAAAAAUGAAGGAACGAGUGAGAACACUGUCUCUGCAGAAAAGAAGCUGGAUGGUCGCCCAGGUAAGAGUGAUAAGGCUUUAGAACGAAUUAAGGAAGAUUCUUUGCCAAGGGAAAGGAAAAGGAGCAAGUAUCUGUC
rnacentral:misc_RNA from 1 species